CCUACGGGAGGCUGCAGUGGGGAAUAUUGCACAAUGGGGGAAACCCUGAUGCAGCGACGCCGCGUGAGUGAAGAAGUAAUUCGGGAUGGAAAGCUCUAUCAGCAGGGAAGAAAAUGACGGUACCUGAGGAAGAAGCCCCGGCUAACUACGUGCCAGCAGCCGCGGUAAUACGUAGGGGGCAAUCGUUCUCCGGAUUUACUGGGUGUAAAGGGAGCGUAGACGGCAGUGCAAGUCUGGAGGUCAAGGCGGUGGCUCAACCCCCGGACUGCUCUUGAAACUGUACGGCUGGAGUGCAGGAGAGGUAAGUGGAAUUCCUAGUGUAGCGGUGAAAUGCUUAGCUAUU
rnacentral:rRNA from 1 species